ensembl:misc_RNA 7SK 7SK RNA
GGAUGUGAGGGCGAUCUGGCUGCGACAUCUGUCACCCCAUUGAUCGCCAGGGUUGAUUCGGCUGAUCUGGCUGGCUAGGCGGGUGUCCCCUUCCUCCCUCACCACUCCAUGUGCGUCCCUCCCGAAGCUGCGCGCUCGGUGGAAGAGGACGACCUUCCCCGAUAGAGGAGGACCGUUCUUUGGUCAAGGGUAUACGAGUAGCUGCGCUCCCCUGCUAGAACCUCCAAACAAGCUCUCAAGGUCCAUUUGUAGGAGAACGUAGGGUAGUCAAGCUUCCAAGACUCCAGACACAUCCAAAUGAGACGUUGCGUCAGGCAGUCUGCCUUU